CCUACGGGACGGCAGCAGUGAGGAAUAUUGCACAAUGGGGGAAACCCUGAUGCAGCGACGCCGCGUGAGUGAAGAAGUAUUUCGGUAUGUAAAGCUCUAUCAGCAGGGAAGAAAUAGCGACCUUUGGGUCGCCAGACGGUACCUGACUAAGAAGCCCCGGCUAACUACGUGCCAGCAGCCGCGGUAAUACGUAGGGGGCAAGCGUUAUCCGGAUUUACUGGGUGUAAAGGGAGCGUAGGUGGUAGGGCAAGUCAGAUGUGAAAACCCGGGGCUCAACCCCGGGAGUGCAUUUGAAACUGUCCAGC
rnacentral:rRNA from 1 species